CACGAUGGGUAGAAAACAUCCUUUAGCUAAUUUCUUGAUUCUCCUCUUGAACUUGGGUACGUUGCUAUCUUCUUUAGCAUGUCCAUAUUGCCCUUAUCCUACUCCUCCCCCUCCGUGUCCCCCAACAUUUCCACCAAAACACCCUCCACAUGUAAAGCCACCUUUCCACCCCAAACCACCGCAUCACAAGCCACCCCAUGUCAAACCACCGCACAAGCCCCCGUAUGUUCCUAAACCACCUUAUUCCCCAAGCCCUAAACCGCCUUACGUGCCAAAACCACCUCAUACUCCAGUCCCUAGGCCACCAUAUUUCCCCAAACCACCUUACACACCAAGGCCUAAGCCACCAUAUGCGCCAAAACCACCUUAUACGCCAACCCCUAAGCCACCAUAUUUCCCCAAACCACCUUACACACCAAGGCCGAAGCCACCAUAUGUGCCAAAACCACCUUAUACGCCAGCCCCUAAGCCACCAUAUUUUCCCAAACCACCUUACACACCAAGGCCUAAGCCACCAUAUGCACCAAAACCACCUUAUACGCCAACACCUAAGCCACCAUAUUUCCCCAAACCACCUUACACACCAAGGCCUAAGCCACCGUACGUGCCAAAACCACCGUACACACCAAGGCCUAAGCCACCGUACGUGCCAAAACCACCAUACACACCAACCCCUAAGCCACCGUACGUGCCAAAACCACCUUACACCCCAACCCCUAAGCCACCGUACGUGCCAAAACCACCGUAUACCCCAACUCCUAAGCCACCGUACGUCCCAUCGCCACCUUAUACCCCUCGCCCUAAACCACCGUAUGUACCAUCACCACCUUAUACCCCUAGCCCUAAACCACCGUAUGUGCCAUCACCACCAUAUACCCCAAGCCCUACCCCACCAUAUGUACCAUCACCACCGUAUACCCCAAGCCCACCAUAUGUACCAUCACCACCGUAUACCCCAAGCCCUAGCCCACCACCACCACCAAGUGGAACACCGUGUCCUCCGCCGCCGCCACCAAAGGUGAGACCGUACCCUCCACCACCAUCACAAACUUGUCCCAUUGAUACUCUCAAGCUUGGUGCAUGCGUCGACGUGUUGGGCGGUCUAAUACACAUCGGUAUAGGCAGCAGUGCAAAGGACGCUUGCUGCCCCGUGCUGCAGGGGCUACUGGACUUGGAUG
rnacentral:lncRNA from 1 species